UCUACCAAAAAAGAAAAGAGAUAAGUAUCAGAUGCCAGCAAGCCACUGAUGACACCAGUAGACAUCAGGAAAACCAAAUCUCUAAGCCACAGGUAAGCUUUUUUUUUUUUUUUUUUUUUUUAUACACCAGAAGAAUCAGAAAACAUGAAGAUGAGGUCAGGCAGAUAAAAUUAUUAAUCCUAAAAGAAUAGUGGACUGUUUUGUAAAUGGAACUGGAAGAAAAUGAUAUUGAAAGAGAGGUUACAGAAGUGUAAGACAGACAAUUCAAAAACUGGGUCAAAUAAAAUUCAUAAAGAUGCUUAAACUAUAGCAGAAUAAAACAGAAGCCAGGGGCAGAGUAAUGAUGAUCCUCUACUAUGGAGAUUUCUGAGACAUUCUGUAGAGACUGAGAGGGACAGGAGGCACAGAAAUUGUACACAGAAAAAGGGCAGGGUCCCUGGCCAAGACCCACUCUCAAGCCCAAAGUGAGAACUUUACAUUCCUGUUUUCCUGCUCAAAUAUUGCCUUUUCCAAAACCACCCCUGGCCUACCCCACCCCGUAUCCUGUACCCAUAAAAAUCCCAGGCUCCACUGGCACAGAGCAGAGAAGAGGAGAAGCAGCUGCACGUCGGAGACUGCAGUCUGAGUCGGAGAGCAGCAGCUUGACUUUAGCGGGACUGCUUGAUGGCAGUACUUCAGGGGAAGAAUACGUUCCCACUCCAUCCCCAUUUUCCAGCUCUCUCCCUCCUGCUGAGAGCCACUUUCAAUGGCAAUAAAAUCCCCCGCGUUUACUAUCCUUCAAUUUGUUCAUAUGACCUGAUUUUUCAUGGAUGCUGGACAAGAGCUCAGGAUACAGAAAAGUGUCACAUUGACCCUCUGCCUUCAUGAAAAAGUAGAAGGUCUAUUGAGCUGUUAAAUACUUAAGCCGUCCUUGGACUGCAAAGCUAAAAGAGCAUUGUAACGCAUGCCCUCUGGGGCUCCAGGGGUCAUGGGUACUACCCUAGGCACUGCUGUGGGACUGCAUGGAGUUUUGAUCCUGCCGGUGGCCAAAAGUGCUUGCUCUAGCUCCUGCACCUGCUCACCUGCAUGCUCUCCCUCCCCCGAGGGGUUCAGAGCUUCAGGCUGAGAAAGUGAGGCACCCCUGUUGCAAGGCCUGUGAAGGGGUCAAGGAAAAUUUCCUGUUCAAAACCAUGCAUAGGAAUUCUAAUUACGUAAGUGAAGAAAAAGUAAAAUUCUGUAACUUUUCUUCUCUAAAGUAGCUUUUCUAAUUUAUUCCAAAACAAAUAUCUUUAUAGUUCAGAAAUAUUAUCUUGGACAAAUAUAGGGGUGAAGUGUAUCUGGCAGGUCUUGGUGGCAUGCAGAAAUAAGGUGUAUUUUCACAGAGGUAAUUCAUUGUUUUUCUAAACUUUCUGCAGUUAUAAGCAAAGAAAAUUUGAAGCCUCUAUUAAAAAAUCAUUCCUUCAACACAUCACUGACCAGGAACGUAAAUGGAUGAGCAGUAAGGACGCAAUGGAUUAAGCUCCUUUACAAGGGAAAGAUUUCUGAACUCCUCAAGCUCUUAUUGUGGGCCUUUAUUCUGCAAAGAAGGCUGCAGUGCCAGCGGAGCUGACUGCCAGUGCCAAGUGUGUGACUGACAUAACGUAUGGAGGUAAUUGCAGCAAAGCACAUCAUCUGAUCUUGAGAACCCAGCAGCCAUUCAGAGGAGCUCCAACCUACAUCCUCGUGCCAUUCCCCACCUCCCGCCACUGUCAGUGGCUUUGAGCAGCUCCAAUCCAUCUACACCCUCUGGCAAUGGCAGCCUCUUAACAGAAGAGCUCAGUCUGUGCCCUUUGACAAGUUUCUUCACCACCACAAGGCUGCACGUUCCUCUGGUAGCCACACACCUUCUUCGAUCAGGGAUUACUGCAGCUGCUACUGAGAAUACUAGAGUACUGCAUGGUGCAAAGGAAACCAGGAAGAGAAAGAAUAAUGCAGAUUUGAAGAUGGAAAAAAAUGCAGUUUUUAUAGAAUUAUGGGAAGUAAAAGUGGAGAGGAUCUUAGAAACAUUCUAGUUGUGGCUUCUCAAACUUUAAAAUAUAUUCUGAUCACCUGGGGAUCUGAUUGGGAUGAAGAUUCUGAUUCAGAGGCUUGGGGUGGGUCCUGAAUUCUACAUUUCUAAUCAGCUCCCAGCUGAUGUAAAUGCUGCUUGUCCAGGGAUGUGGUGGGCAGAAUAAUGGCCCCUCAAAGACGUCCAUGGCCUUAUCCCCUGGAACCUGUUAACAUGUUAGGUUACAUGGCAAACUGAAUUUGCAGAUGGAAUUGAGGUUGCUAAUUAGCUGACCUUCAAAUGGGGAGAUCAUCCCGGAUUAUCUCAGUGGGUCCAGUAUAAUCACAAGGGUCCUUAUAAUUUGAUGGAGAUGGAAGAGAGUCAAUGGGACAGUGAUGCAAUGAGAGAAAGGCUUGGCCAGCCUCUCCGGGUUUGAAGAUGAAAGGGGGCCACGAACCAAGGAAUGCAGGCAGCUUCUAACAGCUAGAAAAUGCAAGGAAGAGUAUUCUCCCCAGGGCUCCAGAACCAGUACCUUGAGUUCAGCCCAAUGAGACCCAUUCGGACUUCUGACCUCCAGAACUAGAAGAUAAUCAAUGUGUGUUGUUUUAAGCUGCUGAAGUUGUGGCAGUUUGUUACAGCAGCAACUGGAAAUGAAUGCAAUGGACCACACUUUGAGAAACAAAGGCCUACACUUCUCUUCCUCCCUCCUUAUAAGGAGAUGUCUUUCCCUAUCCCACCAACUAUUACCUUUUAAAAAAAUAUACCUUCCAGAUGGCAACCCUCUCCACAAAGGUUUGGGGGAAUUCUAGCCAUUCACUCAUUCAAGCCACAUUUUGUGAGGGAAAGUGAAAUGAAUCUCACACAAUCUUUGCAUCCAACGAGCUGACAAAAGAGUAAGGAAAAUAAGGCAAAGUCAUAAAUAACUAGCACAUCAUUCUGGUAACAACGUUCUCUCUGAAUCUUACCUGCUCCCUAUUCUUUCUUUCAUUAACCCAGACAGGUUCCCCUAUCUUUCACCUGGACUCUGGAAAAGGCCUCCUAAUGGGAUUCUCUGGCUUGGUUUCUCCUCUCUCCAAUCUGUCUUAAAACAGUCAUUGCACAAUUAAUCUCCCCAAAGUGCUGAGCGUGUUCACUGAUAGAGGGAAGGAGAUGGCAGUGAGAAAGAAUUAGAAGAGGGGAAGAGAGGAGAUAAAUUAUGAAACAAGCUUCCACUGGAAAUAAGAGAAACGUCAUCAAAACCCAUGUGGAAUGGAAGGGAGGUUCUUCUGUUUUUCUAAGAAUUCAGAGAAAGGAGAAAAGGAGAAGUGAGAGUGAAGACAUAAUAAAAAUUUCAGAUUGUGAAGGGGAAAAUUUAUGGAAACCAUUCCUCUGCGUGAGAGUUUUAGAAUUCGCUUUGGGGCUUAAAAAGUGGAGAAAGGUUUAGAGCUGCCCUUAUGGAAAUGAGAUAGGAAAUGACCUUGAUGAAUGAUGGAAUGCUGAGCAGGCCUGUGGGUCCAUGGUGCUGGACUGCACAGAUCUGUUACGGUGCCGAUCGGCAUGGCUUUCCCCAGCAAUUCUCAACAAGCCAGAAGCAGGAGCAAAGCAAUCAUCCAUAGUUACAAACUGAACUGUAAGAAAUGUAGUGGUAGAUUUUAGGGCUCAGAAACAUAGGGGCUGAGUAUCACUAAGGUGUCUGAUGAAGGCAUCUGUGGUCUAUGAAGGGGGAGGAUGAAUUGGAACACUAGAGAAAGGCUAAGGGACAAGAAAGAACAGAUGUUAAAGAGAAUUAGAAGAUGAGAGAGGUCAAUGAUAAGGACAUGCUCAGAGAAGGGAUGUUAGACAUUGCCAGUAUGUGGUCCCAGUGCUGCUUGCUGGUGUGUAAGUAUAACCCCUUUUCUGCAGUCCAGCCCUUUGCUUUUUAAAAAGAACUAAAGUGUUCUCCACAAUUCCAUCUUUAUAGAGUAAACGUGCUCUUCUGCAAUUUUUCAUAAGCUGUGCCUCCUAAGUUUUUACUAUCUGAUCAAGCUCACCUGAGCAUAUCCUGUUAAAAUAUGUUGCUAUAAGAGAAGCACAUUGCUCCAGAAGUGGUUGGAUUAGAGCAGAGGACUGUGAGACCUGCACCUGCCUUGGUUGGGCCCCGUUUAUCCAUUAAGGGAGUCUAAGGUGGCAUCAGCAAUUUUAGGAGCCACAUUAAUUAAUCACUAGGUCAAAUGCAGGUUACUUGCUACUGACUCUCCUUCCGUUGAGUUUGAGACAAGUGUCCCCGGGCCUUUACUUGUGCAAUGACUAGAACACAAAGGUAGGAUUUUAUAUUCAUCUUUCUUAAAUUUCAAUAUGUAAGUUCUGACAUAUCACUCCAGCCAACUGUUAUGUUUUAGAACCUUGCAUUUUGCCCCAUGAUAAACAGGAAUGUUUCAGCCAUUCCUUCCAAUUUUGUAUCAUUUUAAAAAUCAGUUGACAUCCUCUAUAUCUUAGAUUUGUUAUUUGAAUUUUGUGUAGGCCAUGGCCAAGUACAGAGGCUAGAGUAUUACCAUAAAAACUUCCCUCAAAGUUGAAAUUAAUCUUUUAAUACCUGGUUCAUUCAUUUCUUCAGUCAGUCACAAUGCACAGACUCAGAAGCUGGACUGCAGCAGUGACAGAUGCAUUGGGGUUUAUAGUCUAGGAAGGCAAAUGUUUGAUGAAUGUUAUAGAAGAAGCAGUAAGGAUGCUCUGGCAUCUAUAACAGGGGACCUGUCCUAGUCUAGAGAGUAAGGGAAGCCCCCUCCAAGGACUGAAGUUAGCUUAAACCGAGAAUGAUGGGUUAGUAGCACUAUAGUUAGGCCAGGGGAAUGGGAGGGAAGGUGGAACAUUCCAGGAAGAGGGCACAACGUCUAUGAAGAGAUAGGACUGAGUGACUGGAAGAACAUGCUCAAAGGAAUGAAGGUCAAAGAUUGCUGGAGCAUUAAGUAUGAAAAGGAGGGGGACUGUGGGUGAUGCUGGAGAAGAAAGGCACAAAGCAAAAGUGGGCAAGGCCCUGGAAGACUUAUAAUUUUGAGGCUUAUUCUAAGGGCAAGCCAUUGAAGAGCUUUACUCAGGGGAGGAACAUGAUGCUUGUAUAUUAAAGGUCAUUCCAGUUUCUUUGUGAAUGUGUUGGAGGAGAUCAAAUGGAUUCCUGUUAGGAUUCUAAUACUGUCCAGGGGAGAGAAAAUGGACCAAGAUGGGGCAGUGUAGAAAAAGACUCACAAAUUUCUUGGGAGGAAGCAAUUGAUUUGCAUUUAACUAGAUGCAGGGAAUGGGGAAGAUGAAGGCACAUGGGUGAUUCCUUGGUUUCUGGCUUGAUUGUCUAUGUGGCUGGUGGGGUCAUUUCCUGAGAAGGGACCAGUGGUGGUAGCUUUACUCUUUUGGGAGCCUGUGAGACAUCCAUGUCCAGAUAUCUAAGAGGCAGCUGAAUCUGUAAAUCUGGAGCUCCAGAAAAGAACUGAGCCAGGGAUAGAGAUUUUGGCACCAUCAGCAUCAAACUGAGUCUCAACCCUGGCUGCAAACUGGAAUUACUUGGUGAAUUUUCAAAACAUAGCUAAACCUGAGCCCCACUCCAGAUAUCAAAUCUGGGACUUGGCAUUCCUUAAAAAAAAAAUUUCCCAGGGACUCUAAUAUCCAUCCAGAAUUGAGAACCGUGAGUGAGAAAUCAUGAAAGUCAUAGAUAGGUAAGGGACAGUGGAUGAGGCAAAGGAGAGAAGGUGGCACAGGACAGAUCUCUUUUUAAGUGUAACUGCUCACCUGUCAACUCAUUUACCUGAGUGUACUCACUACGCACCCACCCCUUUCCAUUAUUUAUGUAAUAUUAUAAUUUCAAAAAUACCAGUUCUAGUUUAGAACAGUUUUACUUUCUGUAAAGCAAAACUCUUCGAGAGGGCACGCUCUCUCUCUGUAAGAGGGUAUCCAUCCCAGGUAUCCACUGCUGCAUAACAAGUGUCCAAAAUUUUGUGGCUCAGAACAACAAUCUAUUUUUCACUAUUUCUGUGGCUUAGGAAUUAGGGAGGAAUUUGGUGGAGCAGUCUGCCUCAGGGUCUCUCAUGGAGAUGGAUGGUGGGUGGGGAGGGAUGCUGCUGCAGAUGGGGUGUGUCUGAGCCUCUCUCUCCUUGUGCAGUCUCAAGGUUUCUCCAAGUGGUCUGUGUUGAUGGGCUAGUCUGGGCUUCCUUGAAGCAUGGUGGAACAGUCAGACUGUUUACAUGGCAGCCCAGAGAGCCACUGCAAUAUCCCACCUGGUGAAGAAGUAGCAGAAUCACCUGGCUUUGGAAGUCUUUUCCUUCCUACUAUACUGAUCAACCAGCUACAAAAGUCUGCCCAGUUUUAAGGGGAGAGGCAGGCUCCAUCUUUUAAUGGGGGAAGAUACUAUUGUUGUCUCUUUGAAAAAUACAGUUGGCUUCAAAUAGUUAAAGAUAAUGAAAUCAACAACCCAGAUUUCUUUUUACCAAUUCUUCGUCUAUACUUUGUCAAGUCACUGAACAUUUGGAAAAAAAGCAAAUUUAUUUAACAGUUACAAUAAUACUAAAUGAAAAUUGAUAGUUUCUGUUAAAUACAACUUCUUUAAUUCCUAGAAAUGAGCUGAUGACUUAUAGAGUAAGAGAUAUUCAAAUGGACUUCUCUCCUAUCUAAAAAAAAUAGUAAAAUUGGAGACUGAUUUGAGUAAUAAUAAAACUUCAGUCUCCCACACACAAAAAAGUAAAAUUAAAAUGAACUAAAGUAUUUUAAAUCUUUAAAUUUAGUCCAUGAUCAACUUUUUAUAUCAGAAUUUUGAUUUUUAAUCUGACACUGGGAAGUUUAAAUAUAUACAUAUAACUCUCAAAUCAUUGUUAGCAACAGUCUCUUUGAUCUACGUUUAAACAAGCAAUGAGCUUAAUACAUAUCUCAUUUCAUCCAUUUAGUUAGCAUAUAUUCAGUAUAUACCUACAUGUUUUCUAUAAUUGCUCUUGAUUCUUCUCAUAUUUUCCCAGAACUACCAGUUAGACUUGCACAUAAUUUUAGGGUACACUGAGUCCUUGAGUCCACUGGAGGUCUGUUUUCAGCCAGCUGGUUAUACCUACAUGGUAUUAGGACUUAGGUAAAUAUUCUGUCUAGCCACUAUCACUGAUGAAUUCUAUACUUUAAUUUAUUACUGAGGACAAAAAAAUGUUAUCUUCAUUCAAGGCAUUUUGUUUUUGGCAUUUUGUUUUUGGUAUUUUAAUCAGAGUAGAAUACUAAGACACUUUAAUCUUCUGCUUCUAACUUAGAAUAUUCAGUAAAAUCUUUCUUCUCAUUUUCUUUGCAAUUUAAAGUCUCCACUUGGAGGGGGGAAAUGGUAAUUAUUGACAUUCACUCUCCCUGAGGGAUUUUUUUUUCCUGCUCAUUCACAGAACUUUUCAGAUAAAGAGUACCAUAAAGGUAUAAGUCACUAUUACCCUUUAACCAAUACCAGAAUAAAGGAGUUAAUUAUUUUUUAGUCAAUACCAGAAUAAGGGAGUUGGGUUAAUCUCUAAAUUAUAUUAACCUUGGAUAUUUCUUCACUGUGGUGUAGAGGAAGCCGAUGAUUUAAACACCAUGGAAACUAGAAGCACACUCUCUCUCUUUGAGGGGAGUUUAUUUGUUCACCUACAUAUCAUUUUUCAUUUUAACAGGUUUGAUCAAUUAAAAAAGAGCAUGAUGAUUUGAACACCAGUCAAAAUUAUCAUCUGAUUGGCCAGAUCUUGUUUUCCCAAUGAUUUUAUGAGUUUAUUUGUUUGCUUUUCCUCUAAAGGCAGUAAAAAAGAAUUAAAACUAGUCAGCAUUUGCCAAAUUCCUGAAAUUACAAUUUGAGCCACUAAAAAUUUUAAAAACUACAAUUGUCCAUCGGAAGAUGAGUGGAUAAAGAAUGUGGUAUAUAUACACAGUGGAAUAUUAUUUAGCCUUACAAAAGGAAACCCUGCAAUGUGCAACAACAUGACAACACUGAUGAAUCUUGAGGAUGCUAUGCUAAGUGGAAUCAGCCCAGCACAGGACAAAUACUACACGACUCCCCUCAUAUGAAGCAUGUAAAAUAGUCAAACUCAUAGAAGCAGGGAGUAGGAUGGUGGUUUCCAGGGCCUGGAAGGAGGAGGAAAUGGAGAACUGCUGUUCAAUGGGUAUGAAAUUUCAGUUAUGCAAGAUGAGUAAGCUCUAGAGGCACUGUCCCUAUGACUAACAACAUUGUAUUGUACAUUUAAAAACACAAUAAGAGGGUAAAUUUCAUGUUAAAUGUGCUUAGCAUAAUGUUUUUAAAAAGAAAGAAAAACAUUAAGUUAUAUAAUUGAUCCUAAAUCAUCAUUUCAAUAUAUUUUUGAUAAUUACCUUCAAGGAUUGAGAAGCAGAGUUCCGAAGCAUCCCUAAGACAGGAGGGCAUCAGAAAUGUUAUGCCAGUGAACCACACAUGGACCUUUAAGAUGGUUCGAUCAGGUUCCGUUAUUUUAUAAGAAACUGACAUACUGAGAGGUUACGUGCUAAGUUCAACCUGAGGCAUCCAGUUUGUAUCAGGACUCAGGUUGGUGCCCAUGUUCUCUGAUCCGCAGCACAGUCUCCCUUUUGGUCUUUCACAGUGCCAGUGCGUAGGAGGUGGGAAAGACCACAGGUUCAUCCAAUGAUAGAGCUGCAAAGGAUUUUGGAGUUCAUCUACAUGAACUCCCAUCGUUUGGCAGAUUAAAACAUUGAAGCCAAGUGAAUAAAUACAAUGUAUACACAUUGUACACAAAGGACAGUUUUUCAGUAUAAUGAUGUCCCUUUGUUACUUUAUAAUGUGGUUUGAAACAAAGUAUACUUUUAAUGGAGAAUAAGAUUACUGAAUCAUUGUUCACCCUAGAAGUUGAGAAGACUUCCCAUACUAGUGACAGUAUGACUUGGUUUGCUAAAGGAUGGGAAAUUCUAGAGUUUGCAUUUUAAUUUACUAUUUACUUUAGAAUGAUGGCUCCCAAACUUUUAAUUUAUUCUUUUCAAUAAACAUAAAAAUCUCAAGCUUUUCUCAUAUAGUUGAAUUCCAAAAUAGGUAUUCCAAUUUCCUUUUUAAAUAUAUACAUAUGUAUUUUGUUACACUCUGAGGUAUUGUGGCAGCUACGGAAAUCAACACAGUUGACUGACAGCCUAGCUGCCACUCCUCUUGGGUCCCCCAGUGCAUUUGCACCCCAGCCACACUCCCCCCAGGAGGUUGCUAGUUAACAGCUGAGGAGGCUGGGGACUCGUGAAAGCUCAUUUCUGAACAUUCCCCCAGUGGGCAACGUUGGCCUAAACACUCCUCAUCAGCCUGCCGAAAUUCAAUACUGCAUUGUAAGUUUGAGACAUUCUCUGCUCGAUUUUCCUUUCUUCUCCCUCUUCUUUCAAGCUAUCAGAUUUGCAUGGAAGUCUAAAGCCUCUCCCUGCCUGCUCUGGCUGCCUACCCUCUUCCCCAUCUCUUUUAAUCCCAUCUCAUCUUGGCAUCUGUCUCUUGGAUGACUCAAAAGAAAACAAAUAUGUGGGUUUUUUUUUCUAAUUAUACCUAUCUUUUCCCCCACUGACAUUCUAAUACUUGCCCUAGACCCAGGAAGCAUGUCCCACUUCCUUCUUCCUCCCUAUGAGUUGAGAAUUACCAUUAGACAAUAGUGGCUAAAUUAUUUAACACUGAUUAAUUAGCCAAUAUUUGGGGGGCACAAAGUCUAUGAUAUUAUUAUUAUAUAAUAAUAUAUUACUAUAGGAUAAGUACACAAAUAAAUCAAAAGUCCACUAGGAGCUUAUAAUCAAGUUAAGGAGCAAUGAUUUACAGAGAAAAUGUGGUUUUAAUAAUAAUACAAACAAUAACAAUUUUAAGGUCUGAGUUUAUGCAUCUAUCUGUUUGUCUGUCUACCUGUCUGUCUAAUCUAUCCGAACAGAUUUCCAGUGUACAAGGUUAGGAGAGAAGGAACCAUUGUUACAGCCUUCCAACAUUGUCAUUUUCUUCUCCGUAAAAACUGAAUAAUUUAAUACGAAGGAUCAUGGUGAGAAAUAACUAGAAUGUUGGUAAACUACCUAUAAAUCCCAAGGGAUUGUGAAUAGAAGUUACUUCUUCCUGCUGCCACAGGGUUUCAUUUUCGACAUGCUCUUGUAUUCUUUAGCAUUAACCAUCUAUCUUAUAUAUACCUCUCAGCUGCAGUGCACAGGGGCUACCAGGAAAGACUGGAAGGAGUGGGGGUGGAGAGGCAGGAGAAGCAGGAGAGAAACACUGUGAAUUCCGAUCAUGUAGCCUGGAAAAAGCAAUGCGAUGCUAAUCCUACAAUAGUAAAUUUCUUCUUAUCCCCUGAAACUGAGGCUGACAUUUCCAUUUAUUCAUUCAGUUCCUUUAGACUCCUUGUCAAAUCUCUUCUAGUUGCCAAGCAACAGUAACAGCAGUUCUGUACAUAAGCAUUAGGCAACAACUAUUGUCAAUGUUUCUCCUUUCUGUUAAUGGGAAAUUUAAUGACCCUUUCCUAUGAGAAAAUGAUGACAAGAACCUGUUUCAUGGUGAAAUCUGAAAGCUGUGUGGCUUGUGUUCUUGUUUGAAUCCAAGGGUUGGACUAAAUUGACUUCUACACUCCUGCAAAUUUUUCCCCAAAGCUUCCAUGGUUUGCACUUUCAAAACAACUACUUAGCAUUAAAACUUGUGUCAAAUCCCAUGAAGCGAGUUAUCUAUUAAAUGGAGUUAAUGUUUUAAAGAUGCAUAAUGAUGGGUUUCUUCUGUACUCUCUCUAAUCAAAUGCUUGGAUUUUUCUGACCAUACUCCACCCCACAUAAAGAUUUGAACUAUAUGUCACUACUCUGUAAAAUGCAGAUCAAGAGAGUUACAAGAAAAAAUAAUAAAAUAGUACAUAUUUAUUCAAAAAUAAUUAAAAAUCUGCUCAUCCGUUGGGGACAGACACCACGACACACAGACAUGAACACCUUCUAUCUCCAUCAUCUGCAGAGACAUUGAAUAUGUCACCUCUCUGGACAAGAGACUUUUCUCCUUUUUACUAUUCCUUGUUUUUUAUUUGAAUGAUUCUACACAAUUAUUGUUUAUAAACCAAUUUACCUCUAUAACUGUAACAGUUCUAAAAGCUAUUCACAGUGAGUGGCGCAGCUCAGCGAUGACAUUAUAGACUGAGCUGUUCCCCAUUUCCAUAUCAUCGUAUUGUCUAGUCUCACUUAUUUUUUGUAGGCUCAGCAAUAGCUAUAAACGUUUGAAAAAGUCAAGUUCGCUUUUAUGUUCUUUUUCUCAUUUGGUCUUUUUACUUUUUCUUUCCAAUCUUGG
rnacentral:lncRNA from 1 species